CGCGCAGGCGGGUUUGUCAGUCAGGGGUGAUAUCCUACAGCUUAACUGUAGAACUGCCUUUGAUACUGCAAACCUUGAGUUCGGAAGAGAGAGGCGGAAUUCCAGGUGUAGUGGUGAAAUACGUAGAUAUCUGGAAGAACACCAGAGGCGAAGGCGGUCUCUUGGUCCGUAACUGACGCUGAGGCGCGAAAGCGUGGGGAGCAAACA
rnacentral:rRNA from 1 species